ensembl:misc_RNA Metazoa_SRP Metazoan signal recognition particle RNA
GCUGGAUGUGGUGGCACAUGCCUGUAGUCCUAGCUACUCAGGAGGCUGAGGCAGGAGGAUCGCUUGAGUUCAGGAGUUCUGGGCUGUAGUGUGCUGUGCUGAUUGGAUGUCUGCACUAAGUUUGACAUCAAUAAGAUGACCUCCCAGGAGGGGGGACCACCAGGUUGCCCAAGGAGGGGUGAACCAGCCCAGAUCCAAAACGGAGCAGGUCAGAACUCCCAUGCUGAUUGGUGGGACUGCACCUGUGAAUAGCCACUGCACUCCAGCCUGGGCAACAUAGUGAGACCUCGUUUCUA